UGUAUGCAAUUAAACACAUCAUCUGCAUUUGCAGUGAUAGUCUCUGAACAUCCUGCAUUUAGAAUGAGUUGCACUGGAAACAGCAUGAGAAAAAUGUAGCCACCACUCCUAGGAGCCACAGUGACUGGGAUUGAACCUUGCGUAUGGAUCUACUUUCUCCCCCAAGGCAAACAAAACUGCCAUCUGACUUUAUUGUUUCUGAUACAAACUCUCAUAAGCUGGGGAGACUUCUAGAUGAACUGGCAACCCGGACAUGAAAUCAAUGGCACAGGCAGUAGCAAAGGGGAACAGGAUUGCCCCUCUGAGAAGAAUAGGACAGACCAUAUAAUUCGACAUCUGGGAUCUAGGAAGACCCCCAGUUGAGGGUACUAUUGAAAUUCAAAACCAAGAAAGAAGUGUGUGAGGGGGAACCCUGCAAUAGCUGCAAUUGUGAU